CCCUUAGAUGUUCUGGGCCGCACGCGUGCUACACUGAGUGGAUCAGCGGGUCAGGUUGCGCGAAAGCGUUUCCUAAUCUUUAAAUCCGCUCGUGAUGGGGAUUGACGGUUGCAAUUUUCUGUCAUGAACGAGGAAUACCUUGUAAGCGCGGGUCAUCAUCCCGCGCUGAAUACGUCCCUGCCCUUUGUACACACCGCCCGUCGCUGCAACUGAUUGGGUGACCUGGUGAACAUCUUGGACCGGCCCACUCAAUUUCGAGAGGACUGGAAAAGGCCGUAAAUCAGGUACAUCUAGAAAUUGCAAAAGUCGUAACA
rnacentral:rRNA from 1 species